GCGGAGCCUCACCACGGGUUCCAGGUUCACUCGCAGGAUUUGGCGCGCUCUACGCCGUGCCGCCGCCAGGCUGCGCUCGCUCCACACGUCGCCGCCGACGCGGGGUUCCGGGUCCGCGGGCUUGACCGGGCAGCUCUCCUCGGGGACCGGCGGCGGGGGCGGCUCCGCGGCGCCGGCCGCUGCUGGCACCUCCCGCCCGGCGCGUCUCUCGCUACUUUUCUCGCCUCCGCCGCCGCUGCCCCUCCCCCUCCGAGGGCGGAGGACGCGGGUGAAGAUCCUGCCGCCCGGUACAAGAUGGCGGCCGGCGCCCACCCCUGGGCUUUGUCAUUGGACGGCGCCUCGCCCCCCUGGUUUCUCUUUCUUCUCCUCUCUUGCCUCCUUUCGCCCUCUGCCUUUCUUUAAAUGUGCCCGCCUUUGGCCCCUCCUACUGCAGCCCCGACUCCACCCAUUGGGUGCUCUCAGAAGAGGGCGGGGACUGAUGGGGGAGAGGCCAGUUCCUGGAAGAUGGUGCUGGGGUGGGUGA
rnacentral:lncRNA from 1 species